GACGUAGGGCGCGAGCGUUGUCCGGAUUUAUUGGGCGUAAAGAGCUCGUAGGCGGCUUGUCGCGUCGACUGUGAAAACCCGCGGCUCAAUUGUGGGCGUGCGGGCGAUACGGGCAGACUGGAGUACUGCAGGGGAGACUGGAAUUCCUGGUGUAGCGGUGAAAUGCGUAGAUAUCAGGAGGAACACCUGUGGCGAAAGCGGCUCACUGGACCAUAACUGACGCUGAUGCACGAAAGCUAGGGGAGCAAACAGG
rnacentral:rRNA from 1 species